rnacentral:antisense_RNA from 1 species
GCCCCUAUGAUUUAUUCCCCCACUUCACUUGACACGUCCUGAGAAGCAGUGAUGCGCUGACGUUAAUGGCAGGAUGCCCAACCUCACUUUGUCCAUCCCUCCCAGCACUCACUGGUUGCAGAAAAGGUCACGCAUUGCGGUCAACAUAAAAAUCUCAUUACUCUGGUCUGCAUGCAUCCCUCCCCUUCCUCUACUUGCCCUCCAACACGCUUAUUAAAAACAAAAUUUAAAGAAAGAAAAGGGAAAGAAAAAAAGACUUUCAGCAGUUAAAAUCAGAAAUCAAGUACCUUUGUUGGAAUAGUAUGAAUGGAAUGAUACGAGGUUCCACUGUGGGACAUUUUCUUUAGACCUGCAAUUUAAGGCUAUCUUUACAAUAUUGUACGUUAUUACAAUAACAUUUUAAAUAA